rnacentral:rRNA from 1 species
GUAGGGAAUAUUGGACAAUGGGGGGAACCCUGAUCCAGCCAUGCCGCGUGGAGGAAGACUGCCCUCUGGGUUGUAAACUCCUUUUAUAUGGGAAGAACCGUCCUCAUUAAUGAGUGACCUGACGGUACCAUAGGAAUAAGCACCGGCUAACUCCGUGCCAGCAGCCGCGGUAAUACGGAGGGUGCAAGCGUUAUCCGGAUUCACUGGGUUUAAAGGGUGCGUAGGCGGAUAAAUAAGUCAGUGGUGAAAUCAACGGGCUCAACCUGUUAACUGCCAUUGAUACUGUGUAUCUUGAAUAUGAGAGAGGUAGGCGGAAUGUUGCAUGUAGCGGUGAAAUGCUUAGAUAUGCUACGGAACACCGAUUGCGAAGGCAGCUUACUAUUUCGUAAUUGACGCUGAGGCACGAAAGCGUGGGUAGCGAACAGGAUUAGAAACCCUUGUAGUCC